rnacentral:rRNA from 1 species
GACGAACCGAGCGAACGUUGUUCGGAAUCACUGGGCUUAAAGGGCGCGUAGGCGGGUGCUCAAGUCCGGGGUGAAAUCCUCCAGCUCAACUGGAGAACUGCCUCGGAUACUGGGCGUCUCGAGUGUGGUAGGGGUGUGCGGAACUAUCGGUGGAGCGGUGAAAUGCGUUGAUAUCGAUAGGAACACCGGUGGCGAAGGCGGCAUCCUGGACCGACACUGACGCUGAGGAGCGAAAGCCAGGGGAGCAAACGGG